CCUACGGGUGGCAGCAGUCGAGAAUCAUUCACAAUGGGGGAAACCCUGAUGGUGCGACGCCGCGUGGGGGAAUGAAGGUCUUCGGAUUGUAAACCCCUGUCAUGUGGGAGCAAAUUAAAAAGAUAGUACCACAAGAGGAAGAGACGGCUAACUCUGUGCCAGCAGCCGCGGUAAUACAGAGGUCUCAAGCGUUGUUCGGAAGCACUGGGCGUAAGGCGUGCGUAGGCUGUUUCGUAAGUCGUGUGUGAAAGGCGCGGGCUCAACCCGCGGACGGCACAUGAUACUGCGAGACUAGAGUAAUGGAGGGGGAACCGGAAUUCUCGGUGUAGCAGUGAAAUGCGUAGAUAUCGAGAGGAACACUCGUGGCGAAGGCGGGUUCCUGGACAUUAACUGACGCUGAGGCACGAAGGCCAGGGGAGCGAAAGGGAUUAGAUACCCCUGUAGUC
rnacentral:rRNA from 1 species